rnacentral:rRNA from 1 species
GGAGUUAGCCGGUGCUUCUUCUGUGAGUGAUGUCCUUCCUGCCGGCUAUUAACCCGCAGGCCUUCUUCCUCACUGAAAGUGCUUUACAACCCGAAGGCCUUCUUCACACACUCGGCAUGGCUGGAUCAGGGUUGCCCCCAUUGUCCAAUAUUCCCCACUGCUGCCUCCCGUAGGAGUCUGGGCCGUGUCUCAGUCCCAGUGUGGCUGAUCAUCCUCUCAGACCAGCUACGGAUCGUCGCCUUGGUGAGCCGUUACCUCACCAACCAGCUAAUCCGACAUAGGCUCAUCCGAUAGCGCGAGGCCCGAAGGUCCCCCGCUUUCCCCCGUAGGGCGUAUGCGGUAUUAGCCUGGGUUUCCCCAGGUUAUCCCCCACUACCGGGCAGAUUCCUAUGCAUUACUCACCCGUCCGCCGCUCGCCACCAGGGAGCAAGCUCCCCGUGCUGCCGCUCGACUUGCAUGUGUUAGGCCUGCCGCCAGCGUUCAAUCUGAGCCAGAAUCAAACUCUGA